AUACGGAGGGUGCAAGCGUUAUCCGGAUUUAUUGGGUUUAAAGGGUGCGUAGGCGGAUCGGUCAGUCAGUGGUGAAAUCCCAUAGCUUAACUAUGGAACUGCCAUUGAUACUGCCAAUCUCGAGUAUAGUUGAAGUGGAUGGACUGUAACAUGUAGCGGUGAAAUGCAUAGAUAUGUUACAGAACACCGAUUGCGAAGGCAGUUCACUAAACUAUUACUGACGCUGAGGCACGAAAGCGUGGGGAGCGAACAGGAUUAGAAACCCCAGUAGUCA
rnacentral:rRNA from 1 species